rnacentral:rRNA from 1 species
CUUUUCAAAGUGACGGAUGGCUUCCUUCGAUGUAUGCUCUCUUCGCCGCCUCUGCCCGCCGCCGCCCUCGGUCUUCUUCUCCGGCCGUCCGCCGCCGCCCGCCGGUCUUCUUCUCCAGCCGUCCGCCAUCCGUCCUCCUUCCCCUCCACAUCUGCCCCUAAUCUUCUUCGGCGCCACCCACAGCCUCAUCAAUCUCCAACCUCUUGUUCCCGUGCUUCUCUGAUUUGGAUCGAGAUGGGAGUCCUGGAUCGAGUUAGGGUCUGUGUUCUUCUCCAACACAAAGCCAUGGAGUGACCGACCCGGAUUUGACUUGGCUAUCAUAAGAAGGAAGGGUCCUCGACCGGAAUCUGCCCCAGGCAGGACCUCAAUGGCGACCUGCAGGCCCGGCCUCUGUCUCUUUCGACUCCCUCUUUUUGCGACCUCAAGAAGCUGCGGCGGCUCAUCCUCGAGGCCAAGCUCGUGCAAUUCCGACGACUCCAGGCCCAAUUUGUUUCCUGCUCUAUCGGGUCCAAGUGAUGCGCCAAGGGGAUUUGCACCAGCUUUCAGGAUUGUUCAGUUUCAUGCUAAGAAAAAAAAUAGGUCUGAGGGGAACCACUUCUUUGGCGUGUUGUUCCAGUAGUUCAUGAUGAUGGGCCAGGAGUGAACUAAACUCGUCCGACAGUGUUCUACGGUUCGCCGCAACUUCGUAGGCCGGUUUUCCACUUGAUGUAUGUAGACAAGGAGGAUUGAAAUCAUGGGCUGAAGGUUUUACUCGAAGUCGUGUUAUAUUAGAGUUAGCGCCUAAAAAAAUGUCAGUGUAUCUCCUGGAGGAGGAGGUGGGAGAGAUGUAGCAGGUAGAAGAUGGACCGUGGAUAAGAAAGAGGAAGGGAUAAAGUGUCAAUCAGCAAUGAAAACUUUAGUAUUUGUGAUGUAAAUUUGAAUGCUAAAGUUUGAAUUUUUUCCUUGGUCUUAAUUUCUUUCUUUCAAAUGCAAGUGGAUUAAUCUGCAUAAAAUUUAAUACUAUGUUGUAUUCAGCUUUAUUUAGAUUUACCUUCCACUCAUAGGUUGGAGUCUAGAGUUUAUGCAUACCGUUGCAUGAGUAUUGUUGCAUCAUGGUCAAUUCUCUUGGACAGAUAGCUGAGGCCAUUGCAUAAUUUCAGAGGAGUAUGAUGCUGCUUUGGAAGGAGGCUUUUCUCAAUCUGUGCUACUUUCAGGGCGAGGCUGGGCCACGUCCACACUAUUGUCGCUCGCCUGCCUGGGCCUGGGACGUGUUAUUGAAGCCUUCACCAUGCUACAGAGGACAGUCCUGAAGCUCAGUGUUAGAAGACAAGUUGGCUUCGUAUAUUGGUGAAAUCUCAACCCAUGUUCUUCAGUUGGCUUCAUAUAUUGGAUGUUGACGCUUCGCUUGCUUCUGAUAAGAAUGCUUGGAAAGCUGUGAUGAAAAAUGGAAAACUUCUGUAGUUUUACAAGACAAGGAGGAGUAACCAAAGUUGUCAAAACCCGGGACCGAAUUGAUCGGUUGAGUUAGAACCGAAUGCCCAUGCCUAUCUAUAUAUAACACUUCGGUUCAUGUGUCUCCAUCCACACCUCACGACCCGCGCAUGGUCGGUUGUGGCUGUUGCCACUGCGUGUCUCUGACAUGGACUUGCUCCGGUCCGGCUCCACCAUGCUGGAUGUCGUGAAGGCUGUAGUCCAGGAGUUGGGGACGGGCCCCUAUUUCAACUUCAGCAUGGCUCUCCAUUAGCAAUAUAUUCGAAGUGCCAAGGUUGCAAAAGCAAUAUCCGUGGCAAUGAUGUGUUUCUUGUGAUUUGAGAUGCGUAUUUUCUGCCUUAUUGCUUUUUCCUAUGUAUGUGAUUGAUUGGGUUAGAUCUAUAUAGUGUCUUGCUAUUGCUAUAGAGAAGUUAUAAUAGUUCUUCACCAUGAUUUGUAUUUGACCAUAACAAUCGUAAGACAGCUAUGAAUGCUUGACAUUUUGUCCUGAACAAAUGCGGCUAUUAGUUUGUAUUUCAUCUAAGUGCAGUGCAAC